ACCAACAAAUCUGUCACGUCUUCAAGCGUAGAGUCUCUCCCCAGGCUCUUCUGCUUCAUCUUCUCGAUAGUACUGUCAAAUAGUUGGACCGCCUAUGGAUAGUCCAAACUAUAAUGGUGGUCCAUGAUUACAACCAAAUAACAAAUGGUCCAUUUGGAUUUUAAACCGAUCUCACCCGUGGACAAUUUGUUCCUGCCCAAAUGGGUGGGUUUCUAUCUGCCCAAACCAUUAAAAACUUUAGAGUUUUGUUUUGGGAAAAAAUCAAAAAUCAGACAGUUCUCGCGAUUUUGGCAUUUCUCCUUCGUCUCUAUUCUAGAUUCUGAGCUUUUCUCCUCCAUAGCUUGAUCUGUGUUUGUGGGUUCUUCAAUCAUCACUUCCACAGGUAAUUUUCUCCUUCAUGGCUUGAUCUUUUCUCUUUCAAGUCUAGCUUCGCUUCCUCUGAUAGAUACAAACCGAGCCCACAUAGAGCGUGAUUUGGGGAGAAAGAGGAAAGUGAUCAGAACAGGAAAGUGUUUUCUCUUCGCAUCCGUAACUCAAGUCCUACGCAUCUACAGAAACUUCAUUGACACGCUUCCGGUUAACAAUGAACUUUGAUACUCCAAACCUGGUUGAUGAAGAAGAUGACUUUUAUCUUGAAAAUGCAGACAUGGAACAUGAAGACUUUGUUAUGUUUAACUUAGACAUUACUUGUUUUACAAAAAAUGAUAAUUUACAUAUUUUAUAAAAAAUAAUUAAUACAAAUAAAUAAAUUACAGAUUUUAUAAAAUUUAAAUAAGUACAAUAAAUAAAUUACAGAUUUUAUGAAAUUUAAAGAUAUAAAAAUCAUUGUGAACAAUAUAAAUAUGAAACAUAUAAAUUAAAUACAAAUAAAAAUAAAAAUUUACUCAAAAAGUAUUAUUGAGUGUCCAAGGGCUUAACCAUUUGGACAUGGUUUGGUCUUGGGCAUUUUUUAAACCAUUGUCCAAUAUAGACCAUCCAAUACUGCCCAUAACUGUCCAUUUGGUCAAGCCCAAAUGGAUUUUUGACGGCCCAUUUAACAGUUUUACUCCUCUAGUGUCUGAUUUUUUUGUCUGUUACCUUCUCAAUUAAUACGAUCUUGAAGCUACUCUUGAAUGUUUUGUUCCACUUUUUCCCUUGAUAAUUCUCCUAUUAAAACUUUAUAUCUAAACCUAAAUCCACCGAUCUCCGGUCGCCCACCAGAGCUUCCAUUUUUGUUAGUCCAUUUCUGAGAGAAAAAACAUUGCUAGAGGUGGACUUUUGGGUUAGAGAUACUCUUCGCUGAUGAACAGCCGAUUGAUUUUACUCUAACCAGAAGACACUGAUGCAAAGUUUCAUCACCUCUACUCUUGCUCCAACAUACCUGCCUCAUCUCAAGGAACACUUGAAAUGGUCUGAAAGCUGUGUUCUAACGGUGUUAGUGGCUGAAAAUCAGCAGACCUGCUGCUGAUAGAGUUUUCUCCUCUGAAACUGUGGGAAUUACUGUUGUGGUUGGCUUGGUAGUUUCUUUCUUUUUCUUUUGACCAAAAAAGUAGUUUCUAACUGCGGUGAUUCAAGGAUGGUUUUUAUCUAUAAUGUAACAGCUGAUCUGAGGGUUGCUUGAGUGUUUAUUCUGGCGACAUUGUAUUUAUUUAUUCUAAUCAGAUACAAAAUAAUAUAUAUGUAAAAUUUGUUCAUCAACA